CCUACGGGUGGCAGCAGUGGGGGAUAUUGCACAAUGGGGGGAACCCUGAUGCAGCGACGCCGCGUGAGCGAUGGAGUACUUCGGUAUGUAAAGCUCUGUCAGCAGGGAAGAAAAUGACGGUACCUGACCAAGAAGCCCCGGCUAAAUACGUGCCAGCAGCCGCGGUAAUACGUAUGGGGCAAGCGUUAUCCGGAUUUACUGGGUGUAAAGGGAGCGUAGGCGGCAGGGCAAGCCUGAUGUGAAAGCCCGGGGCUCAACCCCGGGACUGCAGUGGGAACUGCCCUGCUGGAGUGCCGGAGGGGAAGGCGGAAGGCGUAGGGUAGCGGUGAAAGGCGUAGAUAUUAGGAGGAACACCAGUGGCGGAGGCGGCUUAUUGGAAGGUAACUGACGCUGAGGCUAGAAAGCGUGGGGAGCAAACAGGAUUAGAGACCCUGGUAGUA
rnacentral:rRNA from 1 species